AAAAAAAAAAAAAACAUUUGCAUGGGAAUGGGGUCAGUCUAAAUGUAAUCUCGUGGAUUUUACUACUUGAUGGAUGCUGAGGAAGUAGGCACCUAUGCACCUGAAAGCAUAAGUUGUGCAAAUAAAGCUCACCAUGUGCAAGUCACGGAUGUUAUAAGAAAUGGUGGGUGGAUGCUGUAUAAGUUUGCCUUGCUUGACUCUCACCCAAAAUCCAAGUGGGUGCAUUUAAUUUUGGCAAUAUUGCCAAGGGAUCCACUUAACUGAGAUUUUUUUGAAUGAGAGUCUAAAAAUCUUAAAGAUUUGAGGACAAGUAUAAAUUCUGCGGGUGCUGGUUAACAUAAACUGAGCCGGUAUUGUAACUAAAACUUCUAAAAUUUUCUAGCUGCUUGUCCUGAACAGUAUCUAUAAAAGCUGAUGGAGGUUAUAGUAGAUAAGCUGGUGCAUGGUUGGGAUGGGAAAUUUUCCUUCUAAGUCGUUUUCAGGUUGUUAGGAGACAAGCAGCUGACUUUCUUUGGCUAUGGGCCAAAAGAAUUAGAUUGGAGCUUUUUUGGUCUGGCAGCUGCACCAGACGCGAUUUUUAACUGCUAUUAAUCUAAGAAAAUAUUUGGGCUGUUGUUUUAUAUGUGACAAUGCAGGUAAAGAUGUUAGUCUUUUAUCUUACGUUAUAAAUUUUCAAUUUAGUUAUGUGGUUAAUACAACCAUUUUGCUGGAAUCUAUUACACUAUGCGAAGGAUUUUAGAAGAUUUACUGGCUUGUUAAAACAUAAAGGAGCUGUAAGGUCAAAAAGUGGGUGUGGAAGCUGUUGCUCCUGUGUCCUUUGUGGGUGAUUCGUAGGGACUGAGAUAUGAGAACCCUUCAAGUGAUGAAAUCAAGAUUGCCGUUUCAUUCUUCUUGAGACUUCCGAACGUAUAGAAUAUUAGCUGUAGAAUGUUGGAUGGCCUUCAUUAUGAACUUACUUACAGAGAUCCUUAUUAUUAGUUUUGUAUAUUGAUGAUAUAUAGGGUUGUCCUCUCUCCUUGGUUUUGAGCUUAAAGCUUGAUUGAAAUGGUUCCUAUGCCAUAAAUUGUAUAAAUGGUAGCCUGCAUCUUCCGUACUUUAAACUGGCUGUUUGCAGAUUUCCUAGCUUCAAAAUGUUCUGUGUUUCCUAAUAGCUUUAUGACUAAUUUGUC
rnacentral:lncRNA from 1 species